rnacentral:rRNA from 1 species
AAAAGCUCAAAUUUGAAAUCUGGCGCCUUCGGUGUCCGAGUUGUAAUUUGAAGAUUGUAACCUUGGGGUUGGCUCUUGUCUAUGUUUCUUGGAACAGGACGUCACAGAGGGUGAGAAUCCCGUGCGAUGAGAUGCCCAAUUCUAUGUAAGGUGCUUUCGAAGAGUCGAGUUGUUUGGGAAUGCAGCUCUAAGUGGGUGGUAAAUUCCAUCUAAAGCUAAAUAUUGGCGAGAGGCCGAUAGCGAACAAGUACAGUGAUGGAAAGAUGAAAAGAACUUUGAAAAGAGAGUGAAAAAGUACGUGAAAUUGUUGAAAGGGAAGGGUUUGAGAUCAGACUCGAUAUUUUGUGAGCCUUGCCUUCGUGGCGGGGUGACCCGCAGCUUAUCGGGCCAGCAUCGGUUUGGGCGGUAGGAUAAUGGCGUAGGAAUGUGACUUUACUUCGGUGAAGUG